UACAGAGGGUGCAAGCGUUAAUCGGAAUGACUGGGCGUAAAGGGCGCGUAGGCGGUUAAUUAAGUUAGAUGUGAAAUACCCGGGCUUAACCUGGGUGCUGCAUAUAAUACUGGUUAGCUAGAGUAGAGUAGAGGGAAGAGGAAUUUCCGGUGUAGCGGUGAAAUGCGUAGAGAUCGGGAAGAACACCAGUGGCGAAGGCGGUCUGCUGGGCCGUAGCUGACGCUGAGGCGCGACAGCGUGGGGAGCAAACAGG
rnacentral:rRNA from 1 species